rnacentral:rRNA from 1 species
AACGGCCCACCAAGGCGACAACGGGUAGCUGGUCUGAGAGGAUGGUCAGCCACACUGGAACUGAGACACGGUCCAGACACCUACGGGUGGCAGCAGUCGAGAAUCAUUCGCAAUGGGGGAAACCCUGACGAUGCGACGCCGCGUGGAGGAUGAAGGCCUUAGGGUUGUAAACUCCUGUCAAGAGGGAAUAAGCAAGUGAAGGUACCUCUAGAGGAAGGGGCGGCUAAUUCCGUGCCAGCAGCCGCGGUAACACGGAAGCCCCGAGCGUUGUUCGGAUUCAUUGGGCGUAAAGGGUGCGUAGGCGGCGCGGAAAGUCCGGCGUGAAAGGCAGGGGCUCAACCUCUGGACUGCGUUGGAUACUUCCGUGCUUGAGGACUGGAGGGGAGACUGGAAUUCACGGUGUAGCAGUGAAAUGCGUAGAUAUCGUGAGGAAGACCGGUGGCGAAGGCGAGUCUCUGGACAGAUCCUGACGCUGAGGCACGAAGGCUGGGGGAGCGAACAGGAUUAGAUACCCUGGUAGUCCCAGCAGUAAACGAUGUGAGCUUGAUGUGGGGGGAUUCGACCCCUUCCGUGUCGAAGCUAACGCGAUAAGCUCACCGCCUGAGGAGUACGGCCGCAAGGCUAAAACUCAAAGAAAUUGACGGGGACCCGCACAAGCGGUGGAGUAUGUGGCUUAAUUCGAUGCAACGCGAAGAACCUUACCUGGCCUUGACAUGCAUUGUGUCGUCGGUGAAAGCCGGCUAGUCCUGGAAACAGGACGCUUUGCACAGGUGCUGCAUGGCUGUCGUCAGCUCGUGUCGUGAGAUGUUGGGUUAAGUCCCGCAACGAGCGCAACCCUUGUGGCCAGUUACUAACCGGCUUAGCCGGAGGACUCUGGCCAGACUGCCCUGUCAAACGGGGAGGAAGGUGGGGACGACGUCAAGUCAGUAUGGCCCUUAUGGCCAGGGCUGCACACGUACUACAAUGCCCGGUACAAUGUGAACCGAAACCGCGAGGUGGAGGAAAUCGCUCCUGAAAACCGGGCCCAGUUCGGAUUGGAGUCUGCAACUCGACUCCAUGAAGUCGGAAUCGCUAGUAAUGGCGUAUCAGC